ensembl:snoRNA
UGUCCCUGACCUGGAUAGAGUGGCAUCUGGUUGGUGGUGUCCCUCUGAUAUCAGCCAGGGACAAAGCAACCCCUUGUUCAUCCCCGCUUGGCUUUUGAUCUGUGCUUAUGCCUGGUUCAUGCCUUAGACACAUGG